rnacentral:lncRNA from 1 species
GCCUGAGGCUCGAGUCGCGGCGCCUGGGGCGGUGGCCGCCGGACCAAAGCUGGCCUCUCCCGGCUCCUCCUCCUCGCUCCCCAAGGCCUUUCCCACCGCGUCAUUGUCUCGGUUUAUCUGCAGAUACGUCUACCUAGCAGUCAGCCCAGCAGCGUAAGUGGUGACCAGUGUGGGCCUCUUUGAUCCUGAGACCGAAGGCUCGGCCACUGGCCCUCUCCAUUUGUUCCUUGUUGCCCUCCCUUCAUGAUUCAAUCCAUUAAUUAGGACUUUUCCUACCAGCUGGCAGUUCAGAGCUCCGCAUCCCCAGGCCUCUGAGUCACAGUUCCUGCCUUCAUGAAACUAGGAGUUGGGGCCACUGCAUUCUACUCCUUCGGGACUAUUGUUUCAUUUCUCAGUCCCUCAAACCCUUUAUUGGAUGAACAUGGGGUUAGGACAGCGGUUCUCCACUGCAACAGUUUUGCCUCCCAGGAGACAUUUGGCAAUGUAUGAAUCAUUUUCAGCCUCUCAUCUGGGGUGAGAUGUCAUUGGAAUCUACAGAUGGUGGAGGGCACAGGCAGGGAGUACAGAAGAUGACCCUCUGCAAUAUGGGUGGGCCUCAUUCAAUUAGUUGAAAACCUUGAGAGCAAAGACUGAGGCUCCCUAAAGUAUAAGGAAUUCUCAAGACUGCAACACGGAAACCCUGCC